AUAUUACUCCCUCCGUCCGAAAAAGCUUGUCCCUCAAAUGGAUGUAUCUAGCAUCAACUUAGUGCUAGAUACAUCCAUUUGAGGGACAAGCUUGUGACAAGCUUUUUCGGACGGAGGGAGUAUGAU
rfam:Triticum aestivum genome assembly, contig: Triticum_aestivum_CS42_TGACv1_scaffold_177445_2DS